rnacentral:rRNA from 1 species
AUACGGAGGGUGCAAGCGUUGUUCGGAAUCACUGGGCGUAAAGGGCGCGCAGGCGGUUUGGUAAGUCAGAUGUGAAAGCCCAUGGCUCAACCAUGGAAGUGCAUUUGAAACUGUCAGACUUGAGUACUAGAGGGGAAAGUGGAAUUCCCGGUGUAGAAGUGAAAUUCGUAGAUAUCGGGAGGAAUACCGGUGGCGAAGGCGACUUUCUGGCUAGAUACUGACGCUGAGGCGCGAAAGCGUGGGGAGCAAACAGGAUUAGAUACCCUAGUAGUCC